rnacentral:rRNA from 1 species
UACAGAGGUCUCGAGCGUUGUUCGGAUUCAUUGGGCGUAAAGGGCGCGUAGGCGGCGGGGUAAGUCUGGUGUGAAAUCUAGGAGCUCAACUCCUAAACUGCACUGGAUACUGCUCUGCUGGAGGACUGGAGAGGAGACUGGAAUUCACGGUGUAGCAGUGAAAUGCGUAGAUAUCGUGAGGAAGACCAGUGGCGAAGGCGGGUCUCUGGACAGUUCCUGACGCUGAGGCGCGAAGGCCAGGGGAGCCAAAGCGGG